UCCUCCGUAGCUCAGUUGGUUAGAGCGUGCGGCUGUUAACCGCAAGGUCGGAGGUUCAAGCCCUCCCGGGGGAG
rfam:Vitrella brassicaformis CCMP3155 genome assembly, contig: scaffold85